rnacentral:rRNA from 1 species
GCUGACAAGGUUUCCGUAGGUGAACCUGCGGAAAGGAUCAUUAAAGAAAUUUAAUUGAUUUGUCUGAGCUCGGAGAGAGACAUCUCUGGGGAGGACCAGUGUAGACACUCAGGAGGCUCCUAAAAUAUUUUUUCUGCUGUGAAUGCCAUUUCUCCUGCCUGCGCUUAAGUGCGCGGUUGGUGGGUGUUCUGCAGUGGGGGAGGGAGCCGACAAAGACCUGGGAGUGUGCGUGGAUCUCUCUAUUCCAAAGGUGGUGGUUUUUGACGUGAAUAUCACUCUAUGAUUACUUCACACAGCGGAGUUUACUUUCAUAAUAUUAUUCUGUUCGUAGGGGGAACGCUCUCUUUCGGGGGCGAGUUCUCCCAGUUGAUGCAAACACAAACAUAUAUUUUUGGUAAGUCAUUCAGUCAGCUCAAGACAUCUGGAAGUAAAAAUCUAACAAGGUUUCCGUAGGUGAACCUGCGGAAGGAUCAUUACUGUGAUUUAUAUCUUAUACACAUGCGUGAGCGCACCAAACACCUAAAAUUGUAAUAAUACCAGUCAGUAAGUUUUAACAAAACAAAACUUUCAACAACGGAUCUCUUGGUUCUCGCAUCGAUGAAGAGCGCAGCGAAAUGCGAUACCUAGUGUGAAUUGCAGCCAUCGUGAAUCAUCGAGUUCUUGAACGCACAUUGCGCACCCAUGGUAUUCCAUGGGGCAUGCCUGUCUGAGCGUCGUUUCCUUCUUGCGCAAGCAGAGUUGAGAACAGGCUAUGCCUUUUUCGAAAUGGAACGUCGUGGACGAAGUGAAAUAAACUUUUAGCACGCUUUGGCCGCACGAACUCUUAACUAAGCUCGACCUCAGAUCAGGUAGGAAGCCCAGUCC